ACAGAGGGUUCGAUUCUGGCUCAGAUUGAACGCUGGCGGGAUGCUUUUACACAUGCAAGUCGAACGGCAGCACGGACUUCGGUCUGGUGGCGAGUGGCGAACGGUGAGUAAUGUAUCGGAACGUGCCUAGUAGCGGGGAUAACUACGCGAAAGCGUAGCUAUACCGCAUACGCCCUUCGGGGAAAGCGGGGGACCUUCGGGCCUCGCACUAUUAGAGCGGCUGAUAUCGGAUUAGCUAGUUGGUGGGGUAACGGCUCACCAAGGCGACGAUCCGUAGCUGGUUUGAGAGGACGACCAGCCACACUGGGACUGAGACACGGCCCAGACUCCUACGGAGGCAGCAGUGGGGAAUUUUGGACAAUGGGGGAAACCCCGAUCCAGCCAUCCGGCGUGUGCGAUGAAGGCCUUCGGGUUGUAAAGUACUUUUGGCAGGGAGGGUAAGAAUGGGCACGGGAUAAUACCCCGUGCAACUGACGGUACCUGCAGAAUAAGCAUCACAACUACGUGCCAGCAGCCGCGUAAUACGUAGGUGCAAGCGUUAAUCGGAAUUACUGGGCGUAAAGCGUGCGCAGUGGUUCGGAAAGAAAGAUGAAAUCCCAGAGCUUAACUUUGGAACUGCAUUUUUAACUACCGAGCUAGAGUGUGUCAGAGGGAGGUGGAAUUCCGCGUGUAGCAGUGAAAUGCGUAGAUAGCGUGGAGGAACACCGAUGGCGAAGGCAGCCUCCUGGGAUAACACUGACGCUCAUGCACGAAAGCGUGGGAGCAAACAGGAUUAGAUACCCUGGUAGUCCACGCCCUAAACGAUGUCAACUAGCUGUUGGGGCCUUCGGGCCUUGUAGCGCAGCAGCUAACGGGCAGGAAGUUGACCGGGGCCUGGGGAGUACGGUCGCAAGAUUAAAACUCAAAGGAAUUGACGGACUCGCACAAGCGGUGGAUGAUGUGGAUUAAUUCGAUGCAACGCGAAAAACCUUACCUACCCUUGACAUGUCUGGAAUCCCGGAAGAGAUUUGGGAGUGCUCGCAAGAGAACCGGAACACAGGUGCUGCAUGGCUGUCGUCAGCUCGUGUCGUGAGAUGUUGGGUUAAGUCCCGCAACGAGCGCAACCCUUGUCAUUAUUGCUACGAAAGGGCACUCUAGUCGAGACUGCCGGUGACAAACCGGAGGAAGGUGGGAUGACGUCAAGUCCUCAUGGCCCUUAUGGGUAGGGCUUCACACGUCAUACAAUGGUCGGGACAGAGGGUCGCCAACCCGCGAGGGGGAGCCAAUCCCAGAAACCCGAUCGUAGUCCGGAUCGCAGUCUGCAACUCGACUGCGUGAAGUCGGAAUCGCUAGUAAUCGCGGAUCAGCAUGUCGCGGUGAAUACGUUCCUGGUCUUGUACACACCGCCCGUCACACCAUGGGAGUGGGUUUUACCAGAAGUAGUUAGCCUAACCGUAAGGAGGGCGAUUACCACGGUAGGAUUCAUGACUGGGGUGAAGUCGUAACAAGGUAA
rnacentral:rRNA from 1 species